UACGUAGGGGGCGAGCGUUGUCCGAAGUUACUGGGCGUAAAGAGUACGUAGGUGGCUUGUCAAGAUACAUCUGAAAGGUGACAGCUCAACUGUCAAUGGUGGUGUAAGACUGGCAGGCUUGAGGCAAGCAGAAGAGUGUGGAACUCCGAGUGUAGCGGUGGAAUGCGCAGAUAUCAGGAAGAACACCCGUGGCUAAGGCGGCUCUCUAGUACGGUACUGACGCUGAGACGCGAAAGCGUGGGGAGCGAACAGG
rnacentral:rRNA from 1 species